CACCAUGCACUUUGCACCGUGCACCAUGCACUCUGCACGCACCAUGCACACACCAUGCACUGUGCACGCAGCAACACUCACCAUGCACACCAUGCACCAUGCAUGCACACACCAUGUGCACCAUGCGCACACCAUGCACCGUGCACGCAGCAACACUCACCAUGCACACCAUGCAUGCACACACCAUGUGCACCACGCACACACCAUGCACACCAUGCACUGUGCACGCAGUAAUGCACACCAUGCAUAUCCAGCACUGUGCAUGCAACAAAGCACAGCACGCACCAUGCACGCACACACCAUGCAUGCAGCAAUGCACACCAUGCACGCACCAUGCACCGUGCACGCGGCAACACUCACCAUGCACACCAUGCACACCACACACCAUGCACCGUGCAUGCACACACCAUGCACACAUCGCGCACACAGCGAUGCACACCAUGCACACCAUGCACACACCAUGCACCGUGCACGCAGCAACACUCACCAUGCACACCACGCACCAUGCACCGUGCAUGCACACACCAUGCACACACCAUGCACUCAGCAAUGCACACCAUGCACACCAUGCACACACUGUGCAUGCAGCAAUGCACGCCAUGCACACCAUGCACCGUGCAUGCACACACCAUGCAUGCAGCAAUGCACACCAUGCACCGUGCAUGCACACAGCAUGCACACCAUGCACACACCGUGUACGCAGCAAUGCGCACAUCAUGCAAGCAGCAAUGCACACCAUGCGCACACCAUGCACCGUGCGUGCACGCACCAUGCACACCAUGCACACGCCAUGCAAGCAAAGCAAUGCACACCAUGCACACACCAUGCGUGCAGGAAUGCACAAGACACGCCGUGCACGCAGCAACACUCACCAUGCACACCAUGCACACCAUGCACACAACGUGCAUGCAGCAAUGCACACCAUCCACCUCCAGCACUGUGCAUGCAACAACGCACGCUGUGCACCGUGCAUGCACACCACGCACACAUCAUGCACGCAGCNNNNNNNNNNNNNN
rnacentral:lncRNA from 1 species